CCAGAACCCUUUGUGAACUUAUACCUUACUGUUGCCUCGGCGCAGGCCGUCCCCUGAUGGGGUCCCUCUGGAGACAGAGGAGCAGCCGGCCGGUGGCCAAAUUAACCCUGUUUUUAAAACUGAAACUCUGAGUACAAAACAUAAAUGAAUCAAAACUUUCAACAACGGAUCUCUUGGUUCUGGCAUCGAUGAAGAACGCAGCGAAAUGCGAUAAGUAAUGUGAAUUGCAGAAUUCAGUGAAUCAUCGAAUCUUUGAACGCACAUUGCGCCCUCUGGUAUUCCGGAGGGCAUGCCUGUUCGAGCGUCAUUUCAACCCUCAAGCCUGGCUUGGUGUUGGGGCACUGCUUUCUGACGAGAGCAGGCCCUGAAAUAUAGUGGCGAGCUCGCCAGGACUCCGAGCGUAGUAGUUAAACCCUCGCUUUGGAAGGCCUGGCGGUGCCCUGCCGUUAAACCCCAACUUCUGAAAAUU
rnacentral:rRNA from 1 species